rnacentral:tRNA from 1 species
AGAAAUUAUAGGAUCGAGGCCUGUCUGUCUAG